rnacentral:rRNA from 1 species
UGGGAAUUUUGGACAAUGGGCGAAAGCCUGAUCCAGCAAUGCCGCGUGUGUGAAGAAGGCCUUCGGGUUGUAAAGCACUUUUGUCCGGAAAGAAAUCCUUGGCUCUAAUACAGUCGGGGGAUGACGGUACCGGAAGAAUAAGCACCGGCUAACUACGUGCCAGCAGCCGCGGUAAUACGUAGGGUGCAAGCGUUAAUCGGAAUUACUGGGCGUAAAGCGUGCGCAGGCGGUUUGCUAAGACCGAUGUGAAAUCCCCGGGCUCAACCUGGGAACUGCAUUGGUGACUGGCAGGCUAGAGUAUGGCAGAGGGGGGUUAGAAUUCCACGUGUAGCAGUGAAAUGCGUAGAGAUGUGGAGGAAUACCGAUGGCGAAGGCAGCCCCCUGGGCCAAUACUGACGCUCAUGCACGAAAGCGUGGGGAGCAAACAGGAUUAGAUACCCUGGUAGUCCACGCCCCUAAACGAUGUCAACUAGUUGUUGGGGACUUCAUUUCCUUAGUAACGUAGCUAACGCGUGAAGUUGACCGCCUGGGGAGUACGGUCGCAA